GAUGAACGCUGGCGGCGUGCCUAAUACAUGCAAGUCGAGCGAAUAGAUGAGGAGCUUGCUCCUCUGACGUUAGCGGCGGACGGGUGAGUAACACGUGGAUAACCUACCUAUAAGACUGGGAUAACUUCGGGAAACCGGAGCUAAUACCGGAUAAUAUAUUGAACCGCAUGGUUCAAUAGUGAAAGACGGUUUUGCUGUCACUUAUAGAUGGAUCCGCGCCGCAUUAGCUAGUUGGUAAGGUAACGGCUUACCAAGGCAACGAUGCGUAGCCGACCUGAGAGGGUGAUCGGCCACACUGGAACUGAGACACGGUCCAGACUCCUACGGGAGGCAGCAGUAGGGAAUCUUCCGCAAUGGGCGAAAGCCUGACGGAGCAACGCCGCGUGAGUGAUGAAGGUCUUCGGAUCGUAAAACUCUGUUAUUAGGGAAGAACAAAUGUGUAAGUAACUAUGCACGUCUUGACGGUACCUAAUCAGAAAGCCACGGCUAACUACGUG
rnacentral:rRNA from 1 species